UAUCAAAAGAAUGGUGAAUUCAGAGGCGGAUUCAUGAUUUAAACUUUGUGUUUAAGUUAGGGAUUUUAUAACAAUUCAUUUGAUUUUGAUGGGUCCGAAAUCUAUUAUUUAUUUAGUGGUUUUUUUAACACAUAUAUAAGGUCCGAGUGUAGUAAGAUUUUUAUUGUGUUGGGCAACAAAUUGAUAUCAAUUGAGGUUUAAAAGGUCAAUUGAAAAUUAAUUUGUUGCAGCUUGCUCUAGUGAGGAAAAAAAGAUGGUCUUUUUAAUGCUAUAUUAGUUAUAAAGUUUGAUUCCUAUCUUCACAAAGGAAAAACUCAAACAUCUUAAGAUGUUAGAACCGACAAAUAUCUUACUUUGGGGUUAUGAAAAGAACACCGAAGUCAACGACAGAUUCAAGAUUUAAACUUUAUAUGUUCAAGCUCGGGAAUUAACCACCACUCAUUUGAUUUAUUGGGUCGAAAUCUUUAUUUGUACUUGUUUAGUGACUUUUUUUAACACGCUCGGGAUAUGAGCCAAAGCUACUGGGUUCCGUAUGAACCCAUAACUAACCCACUGCAUUCGCCGUUGGGUGAAGUUUAUUUGCUUGGAAUUAUCUGCCUUUAAGGAAGCUAAACUUGUAGGAAUGUAGCAAGAUUUGAUUGUGUUGGGCAACAGAUUAAUAUGAAUUGAGUUUUCAAGGGUCAAUGAAAAAUAAGUACACUCACUGAUUUCGAGUUUGAGAUUCUACCAUAAACUCAUUUGAUUUACUGGGUUCAAAAUCUAUUAUUUGUCCUUAUUUAGGGACUUUUAAACAUAUGUACCGGGAAUGAGCCAAAGCUAAUGGAUCCGGAUGAACCCAUAACUGAACAAAUUCCAGUUUAUUUGUUUGGAAUUAUCUGCCUUAAGGAUGCUAAAUUUGUAGGAAUGUAGCAAGAUUUUGAUUAUGUUUGGGCAACAAAUUGAUAUGAAUUUGAGGUUUAAAGGGUCAAUGGAAAAUGAGUACACUCAUUGUUCCUCUCGACUUGAUAUUUAGAACUCUUGUUGUUUUGAUGUGUUUAGAGACAGCCAGAUAGAGUAGCAGUGUCUUGCUAGUUUCACAGAAAUUUAGCCACAAAUACAGAAGGUCUUUAUGCUAAGAGACUGGUUUCUAGCUGGAUGGGUUUACUUUUGGUGCUUAAAAUUGAUUAGAGUAACCACUUUUGAUGCAUUUGCUGCAAGAAGACAGAGGUACAUUAUCCUAAAGCAUGGUCCAAGGAGAUAAGAAAGUUGGUAUGAAGUCGGAGAAGAAAUCCAAGAAAAGGAAAAAGAAUGCUGCCACCAAUGAUUCGGAAGUGACAAAGGGCGUUGUUAAAGCUGUUGAGCGUGAUUCAUGUUUCAAGGUAAAAUCAGGAGAAAUUGAAGAUUGUGCCAUCAAGAGAAAUAAAGAAAGACGUGGUGGAAAACAGCCUGGGAAGUCCAGUAAGACAAGUGCGAUGAUGCUGUUAAAAAUUUUGUGAAAAAGAAAAAUAAGUUGAAGAAUGAGGGAGAUACAUUCCAUGAUUCUCUUUUAGAUUCCAAAACAAUUGCUCCUGAAAGUGUGAGUGGAACACGGGAAACCAAGGUGGUUGAGACACUCAGUGAGGCAUCUGGUGGAAAUAUUAUAGACGAGGUGAAGGGGAAAAAAAGUAAAAAGGAAAAGAGGAAAAAAGAGGAUGGACAGGUAGAUAUUGUGGCUGGCGACGUUCAAGGUUACACUAAUAUCAGAAAGAAGAAAAAGACAAAAUUAGGACACAGUUGUAAAGAUCUUACACAUGAAAAGAGUGAAAAGAGAGUGAGAUUUUCUGGUCAUGUACAGGUUUUUCCUCCAUCCAGUGAUCCAAGUGACGAGGAGUAUGAAGUACAGGGAGAAAUAUUACUGGGGGCAAACGAUUCUCAAAAGAAGAAGAUGAAAUUAUCAAAGAUGUUGUUAAUAGAUACAUAGAGGUACAUAACUUAGGCAAACAAGGGUUGCAAAAGGUUUUGAACUCUAAAUCUAUUCCCGAAAUAAGGGGCUGCUGGAAAAAAAAUAGGGAGUGAUAUACCAUACAGGCCUUAUACUGCAGUUUAUCAGCAUGCACAACGGUUGUUUCGAAGUAAUGAUAAUCGAAAAUACACUGAAGAAGAGUAUGAGAUGAUACGGAAGUUCCAUGGAGAACAUGGGCCCAAAUAGAGGGUCUUGGCUGAUGAACUUGGGAAACAUUGGGCUAAUGAACUUGGGAAACAUUGGGCUAAUGUGGGAAAUACAUGGCAUAGGAUAAAACUGGCCAAUCGGAAGAAAGGAAAUUGGGCUCAGGAGGAAAUCCAGACUUUGUUUGAUUUGGUAAAUGCCGAUCUGCAACUGAAGCUUUGUGAAGAGAAGAAAUCUAAGCAUGGGAUGUUACGGGAUAAUAUUCGCUGGAGUGCAAUUAGUGACAAAUUGUCCACCAGGUAUAGUGGACAUUGCUGCAGGUGAAUGGGCAGAUACUGAUGACUAUCGACUAAUUGAUGCUCUUUUUGAACUUGAUGCGAGUUGCAUAGAGGACGUGGAUUGGGACAAUCUUCUUUCCCACAGGCAUGGAGAGUUAUGUCGAAAAAUAUGGAAAGAGAUGGUCCGUCAAAUAAGUCAACAUGAAAAUAAGUCAUUUGCUGCACAAGUAGAAGUGUUAGCUAAGAGAUACCGCCUGAUUUGGUUGAAGCAAGAGAGGCCUGGGAUAGGAAACCAGUUGUUCCAUGAAUAUGUUCAUCACUCACAUGGACGUUUAUUUAGAGAGAGAGAGAUGAUUAAGGAACAUCUAUUCUGAGGCGGAUCCAGGUUUUUAAAUCGGUAGGUCGAGGUAUCCUGUUCUACUUUGCAAUCGGUUUAGCAUAAACGUAUAUUUUUUAAAAUUAUUCAACUACAUAUGCAUUCAAAUCAGUCGCUUCCUUGGAACUAAUUCGUAGGCAUUUCCAUUAUUUAGACUUCACACACUGUAUAAACAAAUAGUUGAAAAAGACACUGAGUGCAGGCAGUCGGUAAACUAGAACAGUCACUGGAUAUACUAUUAUCUAGAAACUUGUGUCGUCCUUUUUCUUUUGGUUCUUUCUCGCUCUUUGUUCUUGUAAUGUUUGAAAGGCUUAUAAAAUGUCUACAAAUGUUAA